CUUCACAAUAGAGACCUUGACCUCUCUAACACAAGCAUAUCAAUUCCUCUCAGAGCUUAACUUAGCUUAACUUCGGAGAGACUGCUUCAAGUUUAAUAUCCUUGGAAAAUUACCAGAAUGAAUAAGACCAGACAUUAAUUCCUCCCUAAAAGUGUUGAAUUUUGGAACCUGCCUAUAGUCUGUAGAUAUUUACACCCUUGGUUCAUCAAACGGAUAAUAAAUACAAGGUUGAAACAAAAAUCUAACUCCUGUGCUCCACUCUCGUUAUAUAUCCUGAACACAGAUGCCUGCUCAGAUAACAGGUCUGUCAUGAAGGCUGUGAACGGCAAGGUGAACACUGCACUAUUUUAAAAUACCUUCAAUCAUAAGAGACUUGAACAUUAUGUAUGAUUUUUAGGGGAGUUGCAGAGAGCGCAUCAAAACUCCUUUGCAUGCAUAGCUUCCAGACCUCAAAGCGGGGAUGUUAUCAGCUGUCAAUCAACAGGUAUUUAUUGAAUCCCUGAUAGUCUCUUAGAAAGCUGCUAGGUUCUGUGGAAAAUCCAGAAGCAAUAGAAACAAAUAACAUUUACUCACAAAGAGUUGAUAUUUGGGUACAAGAGAUAAGAUACAUAAAAUCAUCAAUAAAUCAAAAUGCUUAUUAUCAGGUUAUCAGCAAGAGAGUUCAUCACCCUGGCUGCAUAGCUCAGAGGAUCCUGAAAUUACGGCUAUCGCAGGCAGCCAGAACCCUGGGAGAGUAUAUCAAUAACUCGGCAUCAACCAAACCAGAGUGGUGCCUGUUUCAAACCUGGGUAGACAAAGCAAUUCACAAGAAUUGUCUAAGCCCCAAUAUUUCAAUAGCUUCUCCGUCUUCACCAAAGUUCAGCUUCUUUCUUUGAUAAUAAAGGCCACAGUUUUCUUUAGAGAACCUUCUUCCAUUCUCAUUUUAUGAGUAAGUUUAGAAUGCCCCUGGAGAGUCUAAGCUUUCCAAACUUUAUACAGCAGCAGGACUGAAUUCUUCUAAGAGGAAUUUGAGGACAUGGGGGAGAUAUUAAAAAUCAAUUUGUUGAGUCUAGAGAAAUAACAAAAGAUGAAAAAGGGAAGUCAUUACUAGAUGUUCCAUCAUCAGAAGCUAUGGAGGAGAGAUGGUUAGGUAACAGGAAAAGGAGCAGACUCGAAAGCUGUCUGCCCUUCACCCCAAAUCUCUUUGAAUAUAAGACACUUCGAAGAUUAAGCUUUUGUAACAUUAGCCCCCUGCAGCUUUAAAUCAUUAAAGUUCCACAGCUGUGCUAAAUAUUAUACAAGAGACACAAGAACGAGUAACACGUGCAACAGGAGGAGAGGCAGGCGGCGUGGAGAAAGACACCAACGUUGAGUCACCGUUUUUCUAGGGAUAAAACCGUGAGUUAGGCACACUCGGGAUUUCACUCACUGCCUCCAGGAUGCGACGUGCCCACACCACUCCCGUCAGCAGAUGAAAGAAGUGACUCUCAGAGAAGAGGAAGUCACGGGCCUCAGCCAGCGAGGUCUCCAACCUGGGAGCUGGAGAAGAGACACAAGUGAGGGAAGAUCAGCCUCCACAGCAGAGAUGGAGACGGGGGGAGGCGGGCCUGCGAGGAUGCGGGCAGUCAGCUGCUGAGUGGCGGGCAGCUCUGCAGGGACUUCUGAUUCUGGCCCCCAAAAGAAAAGCUCACGCCCACCGUGUGUGUCACGGUUCACGAGGCUCACAGGGAGGUCUCAGUGAGGAACCAAGAAGGGUACGGGGAAAACAAUUUUUCUUGCCAUUCAUCCUAUCGAGAUGAUUGCCUCAAGCCAACUUGAGCUCCAUCUUCUCAUUUCCAAUAUCACAGAGAGGAAAAAAGAAAAAUUUGAAAAAAAAAAAAAAAAACACUGGCAUGAAGAUAAUUUGGAAAAUAAAUGAAGGUCUAAAUGCCCACCUGAGGUGAUGCUAGUGGUAAAGAGCCUGCCUGCCCAAUGCAGGAGCUGCAGGAGACAUGGGUUCCAUCCCUGGAUGGCAAAGGUGCCCUGGAGGAGGGCCUAGCAACCCAUUCCCGUAUUCUUGCCUGGAGAAUGCUAUGGACAGAGGAGCCUGGUGGGCUGCAGUCCAUGGGAUCGCAAAGAGUCGGGCAUGACUGAAGAGACUUAGCAUGCACACACUUUCUAGAUAAAAGGAAUAAUUAACAAGACAAAGCACAAAUUUCAACCAAGCUUCUACAUCUUCUUUCCUGUGUGUGCAGUAAGAAUCUUCACUUGAACUUUAAAGAACCAAGGGAGAAAAACUGUGCAAUUCUUAUUUUAAACUUUUCAGGCCAAAUACUCUAAGCAAAUACAUUCAUUUGCAAUUCAUUAAGAGGAAACAAUUUGGAAAGACAGGCUAGUUUUACAUAAUGUGGUUAAUUACAUAUUCAAGUUUUUAUUUGUUUGCACUAUGAUAAAAAUCUUUCUUUCAAAGAAACAAAUUAAAAAGGAACCAUCAUUUGCAUGAUAUCUAAUUUCUGAUUUUUAAUCUGUUGUUACCAAAGAGCUAAUAUUUCCAUUUCUCAUAUUUAAUUCUAACAGAUAGCAGCAUCCUUGCUACAAAGCAUCCUCAAAGAUUAGGAAAAGUCCCUGCAAAUAUCAGAUCAAUUACAAGAAUACUCUGAUUAGAUGUCAUUAGAAUCGUAUUACCAUUCACCAAAGGGUAUUCUGGGCAAGUACUUGCAGUGGGGCAGAAAAUGAACUGGAACCGCUGAAGACUGACACCAUUUGAAAACAGCCAAUAUGGUCUUUGAAGCCCAGGGUAAGAAUUCUCUCUUCCCCGGAAGGGGACAUGUUCUAAGCAACAUCUCAUUUGCUCUGGUCCAAUCUAAGCAGAGAUAUGAGGACGUCAGACUAGAGCCAACAGAGAUUCAAGCCUAACCCUACAAUAUCAUCAUGAUAACUACUCUUUCAAUAAAAGUCAACAUUUUUGGGUCAUAGUUAUAACAUUUUUCUAACCAGAGUACCAAUGAAUGUCCUUGAGAAAAAGUUCUACCUGUAGCCCAAGACUUUUGCAAUUUUAAAAGGCAUUUCUGCAGUCAUCUGAGGUUCAUAACCUGCAUUUUGGAGCAGUUUUACAAGAAAGUACACAUCCCGUGUGUUCUGCAUCUAUUAGAAAGUUUAACAAGCCUGACUCACCCUCCUUCCCUUCCCACCGCCUUCUGUUGCAGUAAGGGGGACCCCUGACAGGGCCUGAAACUGGGCUCCUGUCUAACACUCAGAAAUGAAUUGUCUGAGGAGACACAUGUGCUGAGAAAGCAAGAGAUUUUAUUGGGAAGGGCGCCCGGGUGGAGAGCAGGAGGGUUCAGGGAACCCAGGAGGACCGCUCUGCCACGUGGCUCGAAGUCUCAGGUUUUAUGGUGAUGGGGUGAGUUUCCGGGUUGUCUUUAGCCAGUGAUUCUGACUCAGAGUCCUUCCUGGCCGUGGACGCGUCGCUCAGCCAAGAUGGAUGCCAGAGAGAAGGAUUCUGGGAGGUGGUCAGACAUGCGGUGUCUCUUUUUGACCUUUCCCGAACUCUUCUGGUUGGUGGAGGCUUAUUAGUUCUGUGUUCCUCACCAGGACCUCCUGUCAUGAAGCAGCUCAUGAGAAUGGUCACUGCGGUGCCUGGCCAGGGCGGGCAGUUCCAGUCAUUGUACUUCCCGUAACACUUCCCUUGUUACUCUGGCCUCCUUUCUUCCACAAAAAUAUAUCGAGAUCCAAAUAGGAAAAUACUGGGAUAUAUGAAGCUUGGCAAAGGUGAUAUCCAAGAUCCACAGAGGUUCUUCAGUUCUCCAGUUCUAUGAGAUCCUAGAAGACUGGAAGUGUGGAGAGAACCUCAUCAUAAAGACUUCUUUUCAGAUUGAGAGCU
ensembl:lncRNA